rnacentral:rRNA from 1 species
CAGUCGCCGCGGGAAUACGGAGGGUGCAAGCGUUAAUCGGAAUUACUGGGCGUAAAGCGUGCGUAGGCGGCUUCUUAAGUCGGAUGUGAAAUCCCUGAGCUUAACUUAGGAAUUGCAUUCGAUACUGGGAAGCUAGAGUAUGGGAGAGGAUGGUAGAAUUCCAGGUGUAGCGGUGAAAUGCGUAGAGAUCUGGAGGAAUACCGAUGGCGAAGGCAGCCAUCUGGCCUAAUACUGACGCUGAGGUACGAAAGCAUGGGGAGCAAACAGGAUUAGAUACCCCUGUAGUCCCUGUCUCUUAUAC